GACGAACGCUGGCGGCGCGCCUAACACAUGCAAGUCGAACGAGCGAGAGAGAGCUUGCUUUCUCAAGCGAGUGGCGAACGGGUGAGUAACGCGUGAGGAACCUGCCUCAAAGAGGGGGACAACAGUUGGAAACGACUGCUAAUACCGCAUAAGCCCACAGGUCGGCAUCGAUCAGAGGGAAAAGGAGCCAUCCGCUUUGAGAUGGCCUCGCGUCCGAUUUGCUAGUUGGUGAGGUAACGGCCCACCAAAGCAACGAUCGGUGGCCGGGCUGAGAGGUUGAACCGCCGCCUUUGGGCUGGGGCCCGGCCCAGGCUGCUACGGGAGGCAGCAGUGGGGAAUAGUGCACAAUGGGGGAAACCCUGAUGCAGCGACGCCGCGUGGAGGAAGAAGGUCUUCGGAUUGUAAACUCCUGUUGUCGAGGAAGAUAAUGACGGUACUCAACAAGGAAGUGACGGCUAACUACGUG
rnacentral:rRNA from 1 species